UUAUGCGAUUACCGGUGUGAAUUGCAGAAUCCCGUGAACCAUCGAGUCUUUGAACGCAAGUUGCGCCCGAAGCCACUAGGCUGAGGGCACGUCUGCCUGGGUGUCA
rnacentral:rRNA from 1 species